rnacentral:rRNA from 1 species
UGGGGAAUCUUGCGCAAUGGGCGAAAGCCUGACGCAGCCACGCCGCGUGAGGGAUGAAGGCUUUCGGGUUGUAAACCUCUUUCAGCAGGGACGAAAAUGACGGUACCUGCAGAAGAAGCUCCGGCCAACUACGUGCCAGCAGCCGCGGUAACACGUAGGGAGCAAGCGUUGUCCGGAUUUAUUGGGCGUAAAGAGCUCGUAGGCGGUUCAGUAAGUCAGGUGUGAAAGUCCAAGGCUCAACCUUGGAACGCCACUUGAUACUGCUGUGACUGGAGUCCGGUAGAGGAGUGUGGAAUUCCUGGUGUAGCGGUGAAAUGCGCAGAUAUCAGGAGGAACACCGACGGCGAAGGCAGCACUCUGGGCCGGUACUGACGCUGAGGAGCGAAAGCAUGGGGAGCGAACAGGAUUAGAUACCCCCGUAGUCC